rnacentral:rRNA from 1 species
UAAGUAGGAGGCAAGCGUUAUCCGGAAUGACUGGGCGUAAAGGGUGCGUAGGUGGUUUGACAAGUUGGUAGCGCAACUCCGGGGCUCAACCUCGGCACUACUACCAAAACUGUUGAACUUGAGUGCAGGAGGGGCAAAUGGAAUUCCUAGUGUAGCGGUGGAAUGCGUAGAUAUUAGGAGGAACACCAGUGGCGAAGGCGGCUUACUGGACAGUAACUGACGUUGAGGCUCGAAAGCGUGGGGAGCAAACAGG